ACGGUACCUGCAGAAGAAGCGCCGGCUAACUACGUGCCAGCAGCCGCGGUAAUACGUAGGGCGCGAGCGUUGUCCGGAAUUAUUGGGCGUAAAGAGCUAGUAGGCGGCUUGUCGCGUCGGUUGUGAAAGCCCGGGGCUUAACCCCGGGUCUGCAGUCGAUACGGGCAGGCUAGAGUUCGGUAGGGGAGAUCGGAAUUCCUGGUGUAGCGGUGAAAUGCGCAGAUAUCAGGAGGAACACCGGUGGCGAAGGCGGAUCUCUGGGCCGAUACUGACGCUGAGGAGCGAAAGCGUGGGGAGCGAACAGGAUUAGAUACCCUGGUAGUCCACGCCGUAAACGGUGGGCACUAGGUGUGGGCGACAUUCCACGUCGUCCGUGCCGCAGCUAACGCAUUAAGUGCCCCGCCUGGGGAGUACGGCCGCAAGGCUAAAACUCAAAGGAAUUGACGGGGGCCCGCACAAGCGGCGGAGCAUGUGGCUUAAUUCGACGCAACGCGAAGAACCUUACCAAGGCUUGACAUACACCGGAAAGCAUCAGAGAUGGUGCCCCCCUUGUGGUCGGUGUACAGG
rnacentral:rRNA from 1 species